rnacentral:tRNA from 1 species
GGUAGGAUGGCUGAAUGUUUAAGCGGUGGAUUGUACCCCCAUGGACAGAGGUUUAAUUCCUCUUCUUACCA